rnacentral:rRNA from 1 species
AGAGUUUGAUCAUGGCUCAGGACGAACGCUGGCGGCGCGCCUAACACAUGCAAGUCGAACGAGAGAGAAGGAGCUUGCUUCUUCGAUCGAGUGGCGAACGGGUGAGUAACGCGUGAGGAACCUGCCUCAAANAGGGGGACAACAGUUGGAAACGACUGCUAAUACCGCAUAAGCCCACGGGUCGGCAUCGACCGGAGGGAAAAGGAGCAAUCCGCUUUGAGAUGGCCUCGCGUCCGAUUAGCUAGUUGGUGAGGUAAUGGCCCACCAAGGCGACGAUCGGUAGCCGGACUGAGAGGUUGAACGGCCACCAUUGGGACUGAGACACGGCCCAGACUCCUACGGGAGGCAGCA